rnacentral:rRNA from 1 species
UCGGGAAUUUUGGGCAAUGGGCGAAAGCCUGACCCAGCAACGCCGCGUGAGGGCUGAAGUAUUUCGGUAUGUAAACCUCGAAAGAAUGGGAAGAAUAAAUGACGGUACCAUUUAUAAGCUCCGGCUAACUACGUGCCAGCAGCCGCGGUAAUACGUAGGGAGCAAGCGUUGUUCGGAUUUACUGGGCGUAAAGGGCGCGUAGGCGGCGCGGUAAGUCACUUGUGAAAUCUCUGAGCUUAACUCAGAACGGCCAAGUGAUACUGCUGUGCUAGAGUGCGGAAGAGGCAAACGGAAUUCUUGGUGUAGCGGUGAAAUGCGUAGAUAUCAAGAGGAACACCUGAGGCGAAGGCGGGUUGCUGGGCCGACACUGACGCUGAUGCGCGAAAGCCAGGGGAGCAAACG